ACGGGAGGCAGCAGUGGGGAAUAUUGCACAAUGGGGGAAACCCUGAUGUAGCAACGCCGCGUGAGUGAAGAAGUAUUUCGGUAUGUAAAGCUCUAUCAGCAGGAAAGAAAAUGACGGUACCUGACUAAGAAGCCCCGGCUAACUACGUGCCAGCAGCCGCGGUAAUACGUAGGGGGCAAGCGUUAUCCGGAUUUACUGGGUGUAAAGGGAGCGUAGACGGCUUUGCAAGUCUGAAGUGAAAGCCCGGGGCUCAACCCCGGAACUGCUUUGGAAACUGUAGAGCUAGAGUGCAGGAGAGGUAAGUGGAAUUCCUAGUGUAGCGGUGAAAUGCGUAGAUAUUAGGAGGAACACCAGUGGCGAAGGCGGCUUACUGGACGACAACUGACGCUGAGGCGCGAAAGCGUGGGGAGCAAACAGGAUUAGAUACCCUGGUA
rnacentral:rRNA from 1 species